rnacentral:rRNA from 1 species
UACGUAGGGUGCGAGCGUUAUUCGGAAUUACUGGGCGUAAAGCGUGCGCAGGCGGUGCUGUAAGACAGAUGUGAAAUCCCCGGGCUCAACCUGGGAACUGCAUUUGUGACUGCAUCGCUGGAGUGCGGCAGAGGGGGAUGGAAUUCCGCGUGUAGCAGUGAAAUGCGUAGAUAUGCGGAGGAACACCGAUGGCGAAGGCAAUCCCCUGGGCCUGCACUGACGCUCAUGCACGAAAGCGUGGGGAGCAAACAGG